GUAGUAGUAUCUGGUAGUAUCAUUUCUGUUCUAAUAAGUGUAGUUCCAGUGCUGAAAUUUCCUACAAUAUAGUAUUUAUAUAGGUAUUUAUAAUUAUUAGGUUCGAGAAUUAUCUAGACUUGGUGGUUCAGGAGUAGCACAAAGUACAAGGAAAGUGCUUUAUAAGGUUCUGGGCAAUGAAAUUGCACAAAAAUAUUGGGGCCAAACAGAAGAGAAGUUUGAAAUCAUUUUUAGUGGCCAAAAGCAAUUUUAGACUCCAUGAAAGGUCAAUUUCAAGAGUCAAAAGAAACCGAAAUUAUCAAUAUAAUUAAAAUAUGGCUUGUAAAAA